UACGUAGGGGGCAAGCGUUAUCCGGAUUUACUGGGUGUAAAGGGAGCGUAGGUGGUACGGCAAGUCAGAUGUGAAAGCCCGGGGCUCAACCCCGGGACUGCAUUUGAAACUGCCGGACUAGAGUGCAGGAGAGGUAAGUGGAAUUCCUAGUGUAGCGGUGAAAUGCGUAGAUAUUAGGAGGAACACCAGUGGCGAAGGCGGCUUACUGGACUGUAACUGACACUGAGGCUCGAAAGCGUGGGGAGCAAACAGG
rnacentral:rRNA from 1 species